UUCCCUAGUGUCCCACUGGCUAAGACGCCAUAUAUAUAAAUAUCCCCACAUCAUCGUAACUAUUUUAUUCAUUUUAGCCAAAGUCUAAUUCUAGUUUAAAUUGUGAAUUUAAAUGAACAUAUACUGUGAAGUCAAACUGAGUCAAUAUGACAGGUCCCUGUUCUGACUCAACCUUUUCCUGACACAGGGUUCUCCUGUGGGGCUUUUAUCACUACUAACCUGGGUUUGCUGGUGUAUGAACGGGAAAAAGCAGCACUGGUUAUUUACAGAGGAGGAGCCUGACCUCUAGGUGUAGCAUACUUACUAAUGUCUCAAGAUGCUGGCUAAUUCAUCUCCACUCAGUGCUGAGGCUGAAGUACUUAUCUCACUAAAUACUUUUCAUGUAAAUUUCAGAUUUCUGUUCUUCCACUGAAAUUUGUAGUUUGAGCACAACUGAGAAAGAACCAGAAGACAUUUGUGGUAAAUUAAGUCAUACAAAUACAAAAAGAUACUUAAGUGUUAGAAACGUUUAUUUG
rnacentral:lncRNA from 1 species